UAGCUGAGCUCUUAAACAUACGUUUCAGAAUUAAAAAAGACUGUGAUUGAGCAACCAUGUUUGCACAACAGGUUCCAGUAGUGACAUCCGCCCCAACAGCAACUACCUUCGUCGUCGGUGGCUGUUCUCAGUGCGGGGUUGGACAAUUAGAAAGUUCGUACACUAAGUGCGGUAUACUCAUGGCCAUCUGUUUCUUCCCGAUCGGCAUAAUCUGCUGUGUUAUGAUGAAGGAGAAAAAGUGUGGCCGCUGUGGGGCCUCAUUUUAGGGAACAUUUAUGCCAGUAUGGGGACUUGCAGACGUGGAAGCAAAUGUGUAUGUCAGAUGAGUUUUAUGGAUGAAAUGGACUAAAUAGGUGCAGGAGAUAUAUCUACAAGUUGCCCACACGGACGCUCUCCUGAGAAAAUGACUAUUUUAUAAAUAUAUUUUUUAUGUAUAUGCAUAACAUUGUUUGCUUUGUUUAUAACAAAAAACUGCUGCUUUACAGUUAUAUUUUAUAUAUUUUAACUUACAUUUGUUUAUAUUUACUUGGUAUACAUAUACUUUCGUUAGCUAUAUGUUCUUCAUGUAAUAUGUGUUGAUCUUGAAACAAUAGUGUCUGCAGCUUACCUAAAAUG